GGAGUUGGACAUAUGAAUCAAAAUUAAUCCCUCACACUCUCCUCUCUCUCUCUCCCCACGUCUUUUUCCCUCUCUCUGCAAUCUCCAUUGCCGCCCCUGCUCUCUCUUUGUUCAGCUGCACCUUUCCUCCCCGAGCUCGCCAGCGAAGUCGCCGAGAUGCCAGAAGCUCACAUAGCUCCCCCCAAGUCCUAAUUUCCCUAGUUCCUCCUCAUUUCGGAUAUUGAAUUUAAAUCCCACCUUGACCCAACAUCCAAAAUAGCUAUGUUGGAGGCGAAGGAACCUAUAGUGCGUUUUGGAGACAAAGGAGUGAACCUAGAAGGUAGAGAAGUAUCAAGGUGAAAUAUGCUUAUGUUCAUAAGCCUAAGAGGUUAGAGUUGAUAGUAUGUCAGUGGUGUUGCGCAGCUUUGCAUCUUUGGCGAGUCACUGGUGGUCAAUCUGGUUUAGUAGUCGUGGCAUGUUGUGAAAUAGUUUAAUCUUUAAUCAUCCGCUCGAUAAAUGUUAAGUUUUUAAAUGUAAUAGAUUUUAAUUGUGCUUUAAAAAAUAGGAAAAUUUCAGUA